GUCAGGGACUUAGAAAAAUUCCUAUGCAGCCCGGUCCCUGGCCCAAAUCUGCUUAGCGAGUUCGGGUUGAAAACGGGUCGAAUCGGGUUGGCAAGUAGACCCAAACCCAACCCGCUGUGGGAAACUCAAGGGUCAUGAAACUCAUGGGAGUUAUGGGUGACUCUUGAGCUUUUGGCAUUUAUGAGGGCUCAUUAUGUAGGCUCAUUAUGUAUGUAAUAAUGGGUGAGUUAUGUGUUAGUGGGUGAGUUGAAAAGGCACCUUUGGGCCUAUAAAUAGUGGGGUUGGCUAAGGCCAUGACACACAAGAGAGAGUGUGUUUGUAUGCUGUUUGUAGGUUGUAAUUCUCAUUUCUAAGUAGUGUAGUACUUAGUUUUUUUUGAGAGAACCUCUGCCUCUUUCUCUUUGUCAUUUCCCUUUGCAUACUUAGUCGUAGGACGCGAAGGUCCGGGCUAGCAAUAGGGACAAAGGCUUGUCCAUCUUCGAGCAGGAAAGGUGGGCGCCGCACGGGCUUUGCGAACGAAAACGCUAAGUCCGUGACAACAUGCUAUAGUCAAAUGCAGAUGAUCAACCAAAUCAUAAUAAACACUAUCAAGGUGCCCUCGGCAUAAUCCUAGAUAUAUGCCUCAUAGUUUAUAACUGCUGUACUAACCCACGGAAAAAAUAAAUCACAUACAAUC
rnacentral:lncRNA from 1 species